rnacentral:rRNA from 1 species
AACGAACGCUGGCGGCAUGCCUAACACAUGCGAGUCGAACGAGACCUUCGGGUCUAGUGGCGCACGGGUGCGUAACGCGUGGGAACCUGCCUUUAGGUUCGGAAUAACUCCCCGAAAGGGGUGCUAAUACCGGAUAAUGUCUUCGGACCAAAGAUUUAUCGCCUUUGGAUGGGCCCGCGUUGGAUUAGCUAGUUGGUAGGGUAAAAGCCUACCAAGGCGACGAUCCAUAGCUGGUCUGAGAGGAUGAUCAGCCACACUGGGACUGAGACACGGCCCAGACUCCUACGGGAGGCAGCAGUGGGGAAUAUUGGACAAUGGGCGAAAGCCUGAUCCAGCAAUGCCGCGUGAGUGAUGAAGGCCUUAGGGUUGUAAAGCUCUUUUACCCGGGAUGAUAAUGACAGUACCGGGAGAAUAAGCUCCGGCUAACUCCGUG